rnacentral:rRNA from 1 species
GAUGAACGCUGGCGGCGUGCCUAAUACAUGCAAGUCGAGCGAACAGACGAGGAGCUUGCUCCUCUGACGUUAGCGGCGGACGGGUGAGUAACACGUGGAUAACCUACCUAUAAGACUGUGAUAACUUCGGGAAACCGUUGCUAAUACCGGAUAAUAUAUUGAACCGCAUGGGUCAAUAGUGAAAGACGGUUUUGCUGUCACUUAUAGAUGGAUCCGCGCCGCAUUAGCUAGUUGGUAAGGUAACGGCUUACCAAGGCAACGAUGCGUAGCCGACCUGAGAGGGUGAUCGGCCACACUGGAACUGAGACACGGUCCAGACUCCUACGGGAGGCAGCAGUAGGGAAUCUUCCGCAAUGGGCGAAAGCCUGACGGAGCAACGCCGCGUGAGUGAUGAAGGUCUUCGGAUCGUAAAACUCUGUUAUUAGGGAAGAACAAAUGUGUAAGUAACUAUGCACGUCUUGACGGUACCUAAUCAGAAAGCCACGGCUAACUACGUG